AGGAACAUGAUGGUGCCACUGCAUGCUGUCGAGAGAAUGGAAAAGCUUGCUCUUGUUGGCAAUUAUCCAAAUAACAGGACGAGGCGUGUAAGGACAGGUGAUUUAAGUCCUCGGCAGAGUGGUGGAGAGGUUUGUUUUGGCGGGGAGGAAGUGAGGAAAAGUCACAGGGGUCAUAUUGUAAAUAAUGUCCUUGUGCUGCAGCCAUCAAUUCAGCUUCUUAUAAACUAUGCAUGGACACCCUUGUAUGCACUGUUUGGGGAAAUAGCUAAAGACGCUACCCAUAGCCUCUUUAACACUUAAGGGCCGUUCUAUAUUAUGUCUGAUAGUCAUCUAAACAAUACUAAAACAAGAAAAGGUUGUUGUUGUGUCAGCUUUAAGUACAACGGAGAAAAAGCAUCUUGUUUACAGAAAUUCACAGUUAUUAGUUAUUUCUACGCCUCCCCUGAAAGUCUCAAUGUGACACCGCGAUAAGGCGAGCACUUUUCCCCCCCUUGCAUAGCACACGUAAGUCAUUAUUUUUAAAGGCGCAGUAUCUCCAAGUCGCAGAAGGACACGUUGAUAGCAGAAUAAAGUACACACUCGUAAACGUUUAUGCCAGUGUUUCUCACUGUAUGAUUACAUUUUUAUGGUUCAUAUUCUGAUAUGGCUUGUUUUUGCUGCCACUGCCAAAGCAAUGAGACAGGCCCAGAGGUGGCAUUUCUUCUUUGCUUUAUGGGGGAGAGUUGGUGGGGGGAGAGUCCUGCUCGGUUUCGUUCGGUAAACACACUGCCAAGCUAAAUGGCUGAUCAAUCAAUUUCAGAGGGAUCGAUCUGCAUCAGUUCUGCCUGCAUGCACACACCCGGAGCCACUUUAUUGUAAAUCAAUCAUUUUGAAAACAACUCACAGAGGGGCCCGUCCUCACUAACAAGCCAUCAAUUCCAGCUGCCUGUGUAGCACCCUUAUCAGGCCACAAAUCAACAGCCACACAAACAUCUGCUCCAUUUCCAUCGCUUUCCCCCUCUCCCUAGCUCUGUCUUUUCACCCCCGCCGCUUGUCGUGUUUUUGAUGGUGUGUCUGGCGAAGAGGAGAGAGGAGGAGAGGCUGCGAAUCUUCACCACACCACUUAAGAUAACCCAAGGGUAAUAGUGUUUGCACAUUUGAGAGAGAAAUGAGGACAAAUGCCAGGGUGGGUCAUACAUUCUCCCUCUGUCCGGCUGUUUGACGUUGGAGUGUGAAAUUGCACACUUCAGCUGAGGAGCGAGGAGGAGGAAGAGGAGGAGGAGCAGGCAGGGCUGAGAGAUGUAUGAGAUGUCCACUGAUUUCUAGCUAUGAGAGAGAAGAGGGUCGACGACUGAGAAGUCAUCCUGCCUCAUCAUAACACCUAAAGAUUGGUGCUGCUUAUGAUGUUUGAAGGAUUCUCGGGAGAUAUCUGGGUACCCUUGACACAGGCGACACACAGCCCAGUGCUGAGUGUCUAAAACAGAUGAUUUCAGCGGGGAUAUAAUAACAUUGUGCGUAAAGGGUAAAAAAUCAUUUAACUUUGGCUCUGUUUAAUGACAUGCUUAUCAUCAGACGGCUUUUGCUCAGACAUGUUAAAGCUCCAACGGGGGAAAGAGGAUUACCUUCUCGAUGUAUCAUGUCUUUCUGCAAUAGCUGUAUCUUUAAACCCAAUCCACAUUUAGAUGCUGCACACCUCGAUGUGCUGCACAAACAUUUGCAGCGCUGACAUGACAGCCAAGUGAAGAUACCUGGUAUGAUGUCCUUUGCUCAUCUGCUGUCACCGUCUCCGCCGAGAUAUACGAGCCAGUGUGGACAGAAUGUGAUUCGAAUGCUAUUCCCACCCAUCACUGUGGAUCCCCAUUGAUUGACAGCCUGACAGGUGAAAGUGAUGGAGCAGCUAAUAGCAUGUCAGUUAACGUAAAUCAAGACUAAUGCCGGGCUCAAUGGAUAAGCGGAUUGGCGCUGCGACUUGGACCAUGAGGUCAUCGACCCCUCAGCAGGACUGGGAUUGAUAAAAUACAAUAUACGUUUAGCAGAGGUUCUCCUGGUGAUAGUCAAGGUCAGACGCUAGCUCUAAUGCAAGUAUACAGUCCCAGUGUGUUUUAUGUGCUCUGCGAAAAUACACUGAUAUUUGACUCCAUUCCUGAUGGAGGUGUGGAUCAAAGAACUUGGUGAUCUGUAUGAUUUUUAAAUCUUGUUUUGUUUAACUGCACCCAGGUGGCGCUAUGAAAUAUCUCAAAAAAAUUAAAUAAAAUAAAAAUCUGUAAUAUUGCUAUAGAUAUGCACAGCCACAUGAAAUUUAGAACACAGGUCUUGAGGGGAGUCCUCUUGAGGGCUUCAA
rnacentral:lncRNA from 1 species